UUUCUACUGACCUCAGCUCAGGUGAGGCGACCCGCUUGACUGAAGCACU
rnacentral:rRNA from 1 species